UUGAGACAAAGUAAAGGUAUUCUCUCUUUAAAACCUUUCAUUGAAAUGAAUUCUAAUACAACAUAGGAAAUCUAUUCAUGUUUUGUACAAUGUCAGUUUUUUUACCAUAAUGAGAAAAACAUUCCACAAGAUGAACAUUGACAACAAAUCUCUACCACACAAAUGUAAACUAUGAUGGAUGUGUCAUGUGCAGUUACACAAAACAAGGUAACUCUUCCACCACCACAAUCAUUAAUUAAUUUUCAAAAAGCUUGAAGAAAUCUACAUACAGAUAUAACAUUGUAUGUUACAAACGCUAAGACGUAACAUCCAAAUCAACAUUGUCAACAUUUAAACUGUCAUCAAGAUGCAUGGAAUCUGGUGUUACCUAUACCUUAUACAGUAAUAUGAAGUGUAUGUGACGAUCAUAGUGGAUGUGUACAUUUUCUUUUGAAGUUUGUGAAAUUUUCUUUUAAAUUUUCUUUUAAUUUUAUGUUACACCGCACUGCUGAUGUCAGCAAAACAUCUAAAACAAACUUUGCCUAAGUGGAUUUCUCCACAGGCUUUAUCGACUAGUUGCAUCAUAAUUUUACGAUCUUGAUUACUGUGCUAGGUAAUGCGCAGAGAGAGAUAACUCUUGUUAUUUACCAAUUACAAUGAGUGGUUAAUCAGGCACUGAAGCUUAUCGGUUAUUAAUGGUAAACUGUGCUGGGUGACAGCUGUCAUGUAGAAAAACUUAUUUUGAGGGAAAUAAUUUUAGCAAAUGAUGUAAAAUUAUUAUCAAAUACUUUUGAAAGAGAGGGGUUGUUCUGUGAUGUCUGAGAUGACAAUGAGUACAGCAGCAGGAUUUUUCUCUUUAACAAAUGUUAAUGAUCACUCAUCUUCUUUUAUUUUUCGUGUUUUUUUCAUGUCAGAGGUCAUUGCUGUUUCAAAAUUUUGUUUUUUCUGUUGUUGUUUGGAAACGAAUAGGAAGCCAUGUUGAGUGUUUUAAUAGAUACUUACAUACUUAAACCCUAGCCCUUUAUUGUGAUAGGAAAACAUGGUUUGAAAUGAAUUCUCAGACAUAUAUAUUUCUUGACUUAAAAUAUAUUUUCAGAUUUAAAAUAAAUUUCUUAAAUCUAGAUUUUAGUGACACCUGUGUUACUUGAUAUGUUUAUGGAAUAAAAUAAUAAACAAUAGCUUUUGGUGUUUUGAAAUUUCUUUCUAGUCAUAUAAUCAUUCAUGUGUGUUGGCUUAACGCCAACAAAAUAUCACUGAACUCCAGCAAAACAGAGUUUCUUGUAUUUAGAUCCCAAUCUCGUAGGCUUGAAUUUUUACCUUUUUUGAUUCUAUGCGGUAAGCGCAUUUAUCCUAGCAAAAGUGUGAAAUACCUGGGUGUUCAUGUUGAUGAACAUCUUUCCUGGAAGUAUCAUGUCUCAUCUGUGGCUACUAAACUUCAAAGAGCCAAUGGGAUGUUAUCUAAAAUUCGUCACUGUGUUCCCCUAAAAUCCCUGCUAAACAUUUACCAUGCUAUCUUUAGUUCUCACUUAAGCUAUGCUUGCCAAGUAUUGCCAAGUACUCGAGACACCACAGUAGCCCACAGAAUACUUACCCUCCAAAAGGCUGCCCUUAGGCUGAUCACCUUCAGUGAACCAAGAUCCCCAUCUUUGCCUAUAUUUGCAGAACUUGGAAUUCUUAAAUUCUUCGACCUAGUUAAAGUCCUUAACAUUCAAUUUAUCCACAAAUUCCUAAACUCUAACCUCCCAUC